GUGCCAGCAGCCGCGGUAACACGGAGGGUGCAAGCGUUGUUCGGAAUUACUGGGCGUAAAGGGCGCGUAGGCGGUUGGGUAAGUCAGAUGUGAAAACCCUGGGCUCAACCCAGGAAGUGCAUUUGAUACUGCCCAUCUUGAGUACGGGAGAGGGAAGCGGAAUUCCCAGUGUAGAGGUGAAAUUCGUAGAUAUUGGGAGGAACACCGGUGGCGAAGGCGGCUUCCUGGACCGAUACUGACGCUGAGGCGC
rnacentral:rRNA from 1 species